rnacentral:lncRNA from 1 species
GAAUUUAAAGCACAACAGUGUUGCUGGCAUGCAAUCCAGCAAGGCCAAAAUUAGCCUCUUUUAUUUCAGUGGAGAAGUGUAACGGUAUACUUUAAACCGCUCGUUAUUUAUUGCGCUUCUAAACACACCUUUAUCGUGUGUAGGGUUUGAGGCACUUGGCUCACUUCGCCAGUUGGAACCAGUUUUCACUGCGUAAGUAUGAGGUCAUUUGCUCAUACAGUUACCGUAAGCAUGAACUGUUAAGACUAAAAGAGUGUAAGGAGUUGUUGCCGUUUAACCCGUCUUCAAAGUAUUUGGCGAUGUGGACCACUCAAGGAAAGUUAAAAAUGUGAGCCUUUAAAAGUUCAAGUUUAUAACUUUUUUUUUUUGCUCUACAGCCGCAAACAGUGCGCAUUGCACAAAUAUUUGUCACAUUGUUAAUACUUAGGUAAAGUUGUAGUUUAUAGUAUUGUUACAUAUAUACUGCGGAAAUUAUGAGCUUGCAGGCUAUAAAAAAAUGUCGGAAAUUUUGCGAAAUCGGCAAGCUCAGGACAAAAAAGAAGCCGUUGAUCCUAAUAAACGCGUUAUUCCACUGUCAAAAAAAAUAAUUGGUCAUAAAUAGUGCUAUGAGUAACCCUACUCCUUUUGUCAAUGACGCUUGAGUGAUUAAGGAUGGGGUUCGUUUGUGCGAUACACACAAGAUUUGGGCGAUUGUUCUGCAACAUGCAAACAGUCCUCCAAAAUUUUCUGGACUCAUUCACCGCUAGCUGAUCUUUCGAUGAACGUCUAACUUUUAUUCCGCUGAAAAUUUUCAAUUUAAUAUUGCUUUCCGUAAUAAAACCAGUCACUAAAUGACACAGCGUGGUUGCGGUAAAAACUUCGGACAUGCUACAAGUGGCAGGGAAUUGCGAGUACUAAAGCAGUAGCGCGUAACGCUGCUAGGAGUGGACUUGUAUUUUUCGAAUGUCAAAUAUUUAGUGAUUGGGUAUAGUACGACAAUAUUUCUCUAAGUACUUUUUGACGGAAGGUACGAUGCAUUGUUCUGACUUCUAACGAACGUUGUUAUGUGUUAAUAUAUAUAUUAAAAUGCCAUACGUUCAUUAGAUUAAUAUCCUAAGGUACUAAUUAUUAAUUAAUACUAAUAGAUACUUCAAGCACAGCAGCGAUAAUUGCGCAGUUUCGGUAAACUGUUUUCACGUUCAUAUUCAUUUCAUUUCCGUCGUAAGCGAUAAAAUUACACACUAAAAUUAAUAUUCCCUGUUUGUUUGCUGGGAUUACGUGACUGUAGACGGUUAUCAUAACGAAGCACUGAUAAAGGGAAUAGAAGCUAAAGUGGAACAAAAACAGACUCAUGUGAAAAUGAUGCGCGAUUUUCAAGCGCUUAACUUGUUUUAUCUUCUGAGAAUUCCUGAACAAGCAUUGACACUGCAGCCGGCGUUUCGAGAAGCGGACUUGCCAUCUUCAAGGAUGUCUUGAAGAAGACAAGUCCGCUUGUCGAAACGUCGGCUCCAGUGACACACUGUGUUCAUGAAUUUUUCGUCUCUUCAAGCCUCUACCUUUCCCUGAACAUCUGCCUUUUCUGGAUUGCUUCAUCUGCUGUGGUUUAACAUUUUACUUUCUUCGGCUGUUUUGCUCCUCUGGUUCAAUGCUUGUAUUUAGCUGUGGAAUCCGCAGUCAUGACAAAAACGAAGAAAAGAUAGAAACAUGUCACCGGCUAUGAGCAACAAACAAAUCUUAUGUUGUAUGCCGUGGCCUAUAGCCAUGUAGGAGGUUGAAUGCGCACGCUACUUUGUUUAAUAAUACUUUGUUAGACUCAGACGCGGGAAAUGCCAAAUCAUUCGGGAAAACGCUGUUGCUUCAGUUUUUGCAAACUGCCCUGUCAGUGUUGUAAACAUCGCCAUUUCCUUUUAAAGCGUACUCGAGACAAUUGACUCGUAUUUCUCACAGACAUUGGAUGAAUUUUGAUGCCACAAUUUCAUGUUUUCCCGUAGUUUAUAGGUGGCAGCUAUCAUGUCUUUGUGGAUUAUUAUGUGCUUGAAGCAAACGUUUGAACGAGCUAGAGUACCGUGUACUCUACUAUGGUCAAGUUUUAUAUAGUUGUACCUAACUAGCUGAGAGUUAUUGCGGUCAUCCUUGACGAUUGUUUCAGAAUCGCGCCGAUUACUUCAUUUUCCAUAGGAGCAGUUUUACAGGCGUCAGUUUUACUUAACGUGAAACAAACAAUGCGCAUCUCUUCCAUUCUAGCUCUAAUCUUCAACUAUGUGCAAUCUAAGUGCACUCUUAAGGACCACCUAUAUGUGUGAAUUUUUGACGAAUUUUCCUUUCUUUAUAUGGGACUUAGUCGUGAGCUCCUAAUUCAUCUCUCAUUGUCGGAUUACUGACGCUUUGUGGCAAUUCUGCUGUAAGACCUAACGCACCUGUGAUUUUACGAUAUUCUUCCCGAUCCUUCAGUGCGGUGAUACUUACCACAGAGGUGCCGGCUGUUUAACCAACUAUCUUAUCAAAUCACUCCACAUUGUGUAUUUUCCUUGAUUUCUUUAUUAUUCUUUUGUCAUUUACAGUGUGGCUGGUAAAUGAAAGGGGUUGCAUGUAGAGGUAUUAUUUAUUCCGAUUGCUUGCUUCUCUAUUGUUGAAAAGUGUGCUGUUUACCAUGUGGAAUUAUGAUGCGUGUUGUCUUUCGAUGUUGGUGUUGAUGGUCACGGAUGUUGGCAAAAGAAAUACAGA